GUCCUGCUGCGGGCCAACGGCUCGCCGGCCCACCGCCGGCUUGCAGCUGAGCUGGAGGCCAUGUGUGAAGGGGAUGAUGACUCGCUUCUUGAGUGGGAAGCGAGGCU
rnacentral:SRP_RNA from 14 species